CCAGGUGGUCUGCAGACACUGGCAAUUCCACUACAUAUGGCUGGGCUGCAGAUGCUGGUGCUUCCACGCCAGAUAGCUUUGUCUCUAUGGAAGUCCCCUGGAUGGAUCCCAGACCCGACUUAUGACCUUUCCUUGCCUGUGAGGUGAGCCCUCUUAUGUGCACACUGCCUGCAAUGUGGCUGCCCUCAUUCCCUGCUUUGUGCAGCACUUUUGCUCCCUGACAGCAGCAGCAGAAAUUUGUGCAGCCUCUACCCAUCUACCCGUUGAGAAGCUGGCUGCGGACUGUUCUGUAUCCUUGCCCCACACUCCCAUCCCUAGACCUGUGAUGAGUGCAGGCAGCCCUGCCCUGUUUCUUCCUCGCAUCCCUAGUCCCGGUUGCUGCAAUGUUGGCUGAAGCGGAGCGCUGGAGGAGGGAGGACCGAGGCGGGGCAAGACUUGCGCUGCUCCACCUGGAACUGGGAAGGAGGGUGCUGUUGCUGGGGACAACGGGCUGUUGGUAACGGGGUUCGCUUCGUGCAGAAGGGAGGCGGUGGGCGGCGGGGGCCGGGCCGGAGCGCUCGGGAGCACGGUGGGGUCGUGCAGCCAGGGAAGCAGGCGGAGCCGAUCCCGGCCGAGGCUCUCCCCCACCUGCCCCGGCUCUGCACGGAAAGGCAGGGGGCGAGGCGGGGCGGUGCAGCCAGGGAAGCGGGGGGAGCGGUUCCCAGCCGGGGCUCUCCCUCACCUGCCCCCGGCUCUGCAGGGAAAAGCAGGGGGCUCUUCGCCCCCCGCCGGCACUGUCUCUUUCUGCUGCUCGCCGCUCGCCGUGGCCGAGGACGGGGAAUGGGAGCGGGAAGCCGCGGCGGUUGCCGAGGGAUUGGAGAAGUGCAUGCUCCACCUGGCUCUGAAUAACUACUGUUUCUGGAAAGCCUGGAGCAGUCUCGGUGCCUAUAGAAACCAGACCAGAUGUGCUCUCCCGGGAGCAUGGGGAGCCAGAUGCUGCAAACAGAUGGGCUGUCUUGUCUCCACGGUGAAUAGUGACAGAAACCUUGUCUGAUCAUGAACGCUUGGGCAACUGCAACCUUGGUGCUGCAAUCUUAGAGCUGAGUGACUAGAAGUCCU
rnacentral:lncRNA from 12 species